rnacentral:lncRNA from 1 species
UGAUGAUAAAUCAAACACAUAAUAAAUGAAAAAGAACAGCAUCUAUAAAAAUUAUCUUCAUAAACAUUUAAGUUUUGAUAAACAUUGCAAGAAUAUUCCUGAAGUAUUGAGAGAAGAGCAGUAGUCUUUAUCCAUCUCCAGACAAUUGUGGAGACAACGCAGAAGCUUUAGUUCCUAAUAUAUUGUAUUAUUUCCAUCAAGAUCAAAAGGGCAAUAGAAAGCAGUUCACGUAGUCACCAAGUCACUCUUGAUGAUAUGAUAAUUGCUAUAAAAAGCACGUAUGAAAAGGAAAAUCUAGAGAAGAAAGCAGUAGUUUUUGCUGGUUAUGUGUGGGAUCUCUAUUAUCUUAUUUAAAAGAUAUAGGAACAAUAGCAAAAACCAAUGUCAAAUAAAAUAUAUAUCAAACUAAAUUAGCAAAGCUACAGGGAAAGCAGUGUUGCUUCUUUAAGAUACUUUCACAGUAUAAUGCUAUGUAAGAUAAUGGGACAGAUACAAGCAUUAUGUUAUAACCUUACCUCUCAAUUUUUAGAAAAUCUGUUGAGACAUAAUGUCUAAACUAAAAUAAUUUUAAUUAACAGGAAUUCCCUGAGAUAAACAUCCUCUUUAUAUACCAGCAUCCCAUCACUGAUACACAUUUUAUUCUCUCCUUUGACCAGCUUGGUGAUCAGUUCAGUGUCUAAAAACAAUGACUCCACAUAACAUGUACUGUACAAUAGACAAUGGUGAAGAAGUGAAGAAGCCUAAUGGUAGCCACUUUUCACAGAAUACUGAUUAUAAUAUCUUCCAGGGGCAGCUGUUUCCAACAAGAAAGAAAAGUGUACUCACAUGUAACACUUGUGAGGGGUCUGCUAAGAACCUUGCUGUCAAACCUAGUAAUUCAUCAGAAACAUGUACUUUCUCAACUCUCAGCUCAUCAAGAACACUGGGAAAGGACUCCAGGUGGAAGGAAGUGUGUUCUAAUUUUGUAGUUCCCACUCCUUUGCUUUAGGUGAAGAAAUAAUUUCUUUGAAGUGAGAUUUGACUAUAUCAGUCAUCAUCAGAAGGAAAAUGAAUAAAUGUAACAUAAUUUUCUCUUACCUCCA